UCUGACUGCUCCUGCUCACAUGGGCCCACACCCGGUCCAGAUGCCCCCAGCACUGACUGUCUUAGUCCUCCCACAGCACCUGGCAGUGUGACAUGGUCUUCCUGUGUGCUGUGACUCUCUGCUGUGUCCCUUCUUCCCUAUCCAACUGGCAGUUCCCAUGGGGGCAAGGGUUCACCUGUCUCCCCAUUAGAUUGAAGGUUCCUGAAGAUGGGCAGUUUCUGUUUUAUCAGAGCCCCCUACAACCCAGUCUGGAGCUUCAUCCUGGAGGGCUCCUUCUACAGGGGUUUUAGCAGUGCUAGUGGUAUGUGGAGUGGAAGCAGAGCAGGGCACAGGGCACAGUGGUGGGCCAGGCUGGUGCCUGGAGCAACAGGGCCUGUCACCCCUGGCAGAGUUUCCUGCCCGUGUCAGGGCCUGUGACACCCAGCCUGGCUGAGGGGAUUCUAGGGCCACUGGGAAGCCACCAGCACUGAGGUGAGAUGGAGAGAGGGUGGGGCGGGGUGGGGGGCCCAGAGCCUGCCGCUCGCCAGGGAAACAGGAGCCGGUGGCUAAAUGCAGACACACUGUCAUGGUGCUGAGGGCCUGAGUCACUGCCCCUGGAUGUCAGAUCCCGUUACCCACCCCGCCCACCAUCCCUCCUCCCCUUUUCCCCACUUCCCGAGGCAUCACCCACACAAAUACUUGGUCCUCUGGCUUCACUGGCCCAGAGGGACCUCAAAAGGUCAUCAAAGCCAUUCCCCUGCCUCUACCUUCAGAUCACAGGGACAGAAGGAGCGACAAAGAUGAUGUAGUCCUUUGAAUCCCAGUCACCCAGGGGAGCUUUUCACAAACAUGGACCCUUUCCUUGGACCUCAGGAUUGUGAUUUGGGAUCUGGAGAAGGGACCUUGCAUCUCUUCGCAUCAGCUCCCCACACAGCCAGCCCACAGGCCAGUGAUGAAGCCGUCAUCACUCGGCAGGUAUUCAUUGAAACCGUGCUAUAAAUAGGUGCUGGGCACGGUUCUAGGCUUUGAAGGACUCAGAGAUGAAUAAGGCAGAGACAGGCCCCUGCUUCCAGGCUCACCUCAUCGGACAGAAGAGGAAACCGAGGCUCUAAUUGAUGAAGGAGUUAGGGUCAGCAGAGCUGUGCUGGCUUCAAACUCGUCAUCCUACUGUGCCCCCUGGCUGCCCUCUUCUCAGCCUCCUGGUGCUCACAGGGCUGGGGGUGAGGUCGGAUGUGGAUAUGCAGUGCCGGCUGUGGGACCGUGGCCAGCAGCUGCCCCACACCACACACUGGGGAUCGGGAUGUCGACAGGGCAGCCAGUUCUGGUGCUGUGCAGAGUCAACAGGUCGGGGUGGCCAAGGUGAAGGCGGGCUCGAGUCCAUACAGAGCAGCAACCCCCAUCCCACCUCCCACAACACACAUCUUCGAUUUUGAUUUGACUUGCCUGGCAUCUAGGGGCAGAGGGUAGGUAGCCCAUGGUCCCAGAUUUUAACAAUCAUUCAAAGGCCAUCAUAAGCUUCAGAGAGUGGCUUUCUCUGGUGGGAGUGGAGGCAAUUGUCCCCAACCUCUUGCCCAAAGUGGCAUCAGACUCAACUCUUCUGUUCUGUGCCCAAACCAUUGCCCUGGUUCAGCCUCAGGAGCUGGAGGAGCUUUGGGCAGGGAAAGAGUUGCACAGUGGAGGGCUGGGUUCAGCCUCUGCUGUGUGACCUUGGAUGAGUGACUCAACUCUGAUCAUCUACAAAAUGGCGAUGCUCUCCCCAUUCACAGGGUGCGGGGAGAAAGAUUUGAGUUGCAGAUCGGAAGCUCCUGACACGUAGCAUGUGCAUGUCCCCUCACACCUGUGCUCCCAUUCUCUGUUGGAGUGGGACAAAGUCUGUGGAAUUACCCGGAAGUCCCCAGACAGAGCCGCUGGCUCUUGGACGUGUGCUUUGAGAGGCAUUUCCUGAGCCUGGAGGGUCUGGACACAAGGAUCAAGUCCAAGUUCCUGACCCCAAUUCACUGCCUUGCCUCAGGUGUUGGCCUCCUCGCCAGCCCUGGACAAGAUGGCUCAUCAGGACGGGACUGUGCGGCACAGCCUGCAGGCUUUGGAGCCAGGCAAACCUGGGCAGGGAAUCCCGGUUCUGCCUCGGCCUCUGUGAUCUUGGACAGGCAGCCUCGCCUCCCUGAGACGCCAUUUCUCUCCAACGGGAUCACACUGCCUGCCUCGUGGGAUUUCCGUGGGCACUCAGGGUAAUUAAUCUGGGGAAGGCUGACUCUCUACCUGGCACACAGGGAGGCUGUGGUCAUGCUGACCCCACUCACCUUUGCCGGCCUGCCUUCUCCUUCCCUGCCCAGCCUCCUCCCCUCUCCCUCUGUGCUUUUCCAAACCUUCCAUGUCCAGUUCUGAGACUCCUGGGCCCUGAGCCUCAGCCCUGGCAGAUGACCCCUCGCUGUCCUGCUGUGUGUGUGUGCUCCCCCUCCCCAGCCCCUGUCCAGCAGCACCCAGGAGCCUGAGGACAGCUGGGCACCACCCUCUGUGCCACUGUGGUGGGUGGAGAGGCUCCUGCUUCCCUCCCUCUUGGCAGCUCUGCCCUGCAUGGCUCUGGCCUCCACAGUUCUGGUUGAUUUGUCAAGGACAUUUUUAAUCUCCACUGUAAACCCCGGGCCGAGGUGGGUGGGGUGGCGGGGGGAGAAUGAUGCUUGGUAGAGCACAUACCUGUCCAGGUGCACUGGAGCUGGGAGCAAAGGAGGCUCUGAGAGGAGGGCCUGUUCAGCCACAGCAGGAGGACUGACAGGGGCCUGAUGGAGGAGUUGGUGGGGCUGCGUGAGGGCUCCUCAGGGGACCCUGUGACUCUGCAGGAGCUGUGGGGCCCAUGUCCCUGCAUCCGCCGAGGCGUCCGAGGUGGCCUGGAGUGGCUGAAGCAGAAGCUGUUCCGCCUGGGCGAGGACUGGUACUUCCUCAUGACCCUCGGGGUGCUCAUGGCCCUGGUCAGCUAUGCCAUGAACUUUGCCAUCGGGCGUGUGGUCCGAGCGCACCAGUGGCUGUACCGGGAGAUUGGGGACAGCCACCUGCUCCGGUAUCUCUCCUGGACUGUGUACCCUGUGGCCCUCAUCUCUUUCUCCUCGGGCUUCUCCCAAAGCAUCACGCCCUCCUCUGGAGGUUCUGGAAUCCCGGAGCUGAAGACCAUGUUGGCAGGUGUGAUCUUGGAGGACUACCUGGAUAUCAAGAACUUUGGGGCCAAGGUGGUGGGCCUCUCCUGCACACUGGCCACCGGCAGCACCCUCUUCCUGGGCAAAGUGGGCCCUUUCGUGCACCUGUCUGUGAUGAUGGCUGCCUACCUGGGCCGUGUGCGCACCACGACCGUCGGGGAGCCUGAGAACAAGAGCAAGCAAAACGAAAUGUUGGUGGCAGCGGCGGCAGUGGGCGUGGCCACAGUCUUUGGAGCUCCCUUCAGCGGCGUCCUGUUCAGCAUCGAGGUCAUGUCUUCCCACUUCUCUGUCUGGGAUUACUGGAGGGGCUUCUUUGCAGCCACCUGCGGGGCCUUCAUGUUCCGGCUCCUGGCGGUCUUCAAUAGCGAGCAGGAGACCAUCACCUCCCUCUACAAGACCAGUUUCCGGGUGGACGUUCCCUUCGACCUGCCGGAGAUCUUCUUUUUUGUGGCACUGGGUGGCAUCUGUGGUGUCCUGAGCUGUGCUUACCUCUUCUGUCAGCGAACCUUCCUCAGCUUCAUCAAGACCAAUCGGUUCAGCUCCAAACUGCUGGCCACCAGCAAGCCUGUGUACUCAGCCCUGGCCACCUUGGUUCUCGCUUCCAUCACCUACCCGCCCGGUGUGGGCCGCUUCCUAGCUUCUCGGCUGUCCAUGAAGCAGCAUCUGGACUCGCUGUUCGACAACCAUUCCUGGGUGCUGAUGACCCGGAACUCCAGCCCACCCUGGCCCGAGGAGCUCGACCCCCAGCACCUGUGGUGGGAAUGGUACCACCCGCGGUUCACCAUCUUUGGGACCCUUGCCUUCUUCCUGGUUAUGAAGUUCUGGAUGCUGAUUCUGGCCACCACCAUCCCCAUGCCUGCCGGGUACUUCAUGCCCAUCUUCAUCCUUGUCUGGCCAGGAGCUGCCAUCGGGCGCCUCUUGGGAGAGGCUCUUGCUCUCGCCUUCCCUGAGGGCAUCGUGGCUGGAGGGGUUACCAAUCCCAUCAUGCCCGGGGGCUAUGCCCUGGCAGGGGCUGCAGCCUUCUCAGGGGCUGUGACCCAUACCAUCUCCACGGCGCUGCUGGCCUUUGAGCUGACCGGCCAGAUAGUGCACGCACUGCCCGUGCUGAUGGCGGUGCUGGCAGCCAACGCUAUUGCACAGAGCUGCCAGCCCUCCUUCUACGAUGGCACCAUCAUUGUCAAGAAGCUGCCAUACCUGCCACGGAUUCUGGGCCGCAACAUCGGCUCCCACAGCGUGAGGGUGGAGCACUUCAUGAACCGCAGCAUCACCACACUGGCCAAGGACAUGCCGCUGGAGGAGGUGGUCAAGGUUGUGACCUCCACAGACGUGGCCAAGUAUCCCCUGGUGGAGAGCACAGAGUCCCAGAUCCUGGUGGGCGUCGUGCAGAGGGCCCAGCUGGUGCAGGCCCUCCAGGCUGAGCCAGCUUCCUGGGCUCCAGGACACCAGGGGCCCAAGGUCACAUCUUCUCCAGCAGAGACCAGGCCAAGAGAGCCAGCAGUGUCUCCAGGACAUCUUGGCUGGAGGCUGCCCCACGGAACCAGUGACCCUGACGCUAUUCUCAGAGACCACCAUGCACCAGGCACACAACCUCUUUAAGCUGUUGAACCUUCAGUCCCUCUUCGUGACAUCGCGGGGCAGAGCUGUGGGCUGCGUGUCCUGGGUGGAGAUGAAGAAAGCAAUUUCCAACCUGACAAACCCACCAGCCCCAAAGUGAGCCAGUCCAGCAAGAUGAAACGGCACCCCAGCUGCCCUGGUACUGAGGUUGGGCUGAGACCCUGCCUCUCUUCCCCCGUCACCCCUUACCCCCACUCCAACCCAGCUCCAUUCCUUGGCAUAACAGACAACUCUAACCUAGCCCAGAAGAUGGCUCAUCCUGGGUGUGACGAUGGCUCCUGCCUUGAAAGACAAAUCCCACCUUGGACAGAGCUAAGUGUGAGAUGACGGAAAACCAGUAUCUGCCAGGAGCUCAGUGACUGGCCAUCACAUUAAUGAAUAACGAGAUUGGAGUACGCUGUCACCAAGGGCAGGCACAGAUGCUCUCUGGGGUUGUCUGAUUCCCAUUGAGAAGCUCCAGAGAAAAAUAAAGCUGGUUCCCAGA